GCCUGCCUAGCUCAAUCGGAUAGAGCGUGAGACUUUUACGAACCAGGGAAUCCCUGGGGUACUUCAUCUCAAGGCUGCGGGUUCGACCCCCGCGGUGGGCU